rnacentral:rRNA from 1 species
AUUGAACGCUGGCGGCAGGCCUAACACAUGCAAGUCGAACGAGUGGCGGACGGGUGAGUAAUGUAUGGGAAACUGCCUGAUCGAGGGGGAUAACUACUGGAAACGGUGGCUAAUACCGCAUACCAUCCGAUGUACCCAGAUGGGAUUAGCUAGUAGGUGGGGUAACGGCUCACCAAGGCGACGAUCUCUAGCUGGUCUGAGAGGAUGACCAGCCACACUGGGACUGAGACACGGCCCAGACUCCGACGGGAGGCAGCAGUGGGGAAUAUUGCACAAUGGGCGCAAGCCUGAUGCAGCCAUGCCGCGUGUAUGAAGAAGGCCUUAGGGUUGUAAAGUACUUUCAGCGGGGAGGCGUUACCCGAAGAAGAAGCAACGGCUAACUCCGUGCCAGCAGCCGCGGUAAUAC